UUCUCGGUGUCCAAGUUUAAUAGGUCCCACGUCAAUCCAUCCCGAACUUGACAGUGAAACUAUUACUGAGAACGAAAAGGUGCAUGGGAGACUGUGUGUACUUUCGAUCUUGAUGCCGGGAA
rnacentral:rRNA from 1 species